GUAGAGGGAGGUAGAAUUCUAGGUGUAGCGGUGAAAUGCGUAGAUAUCUAGAGGAAUACCUGUGGCGAAAGCGACCUCCUGGACAAAAACUGACGCUGAGGUGCGAAAGCGUGGGGAGCAAACAGGAUUAGAUACCCUGGUAGUCCAUGCUGUAAACGAUGUCGACUUGGAGGUUGUUUCCUUGAGAAGUGGCUUCCGAAGCUAACGCAUUAAGUCGACCGCCUGGGGAGUACGGCCGCAAGGCUAAAACUCAAAUGAAUUGACGGGGGCCCGCACAAGCGGUGGAGCAUGUGGUUUAAUUCGAUGCAACGCGAAGAACCUUACCUGGUCUUGACAUCCAUAAAAUUUUUUAGAGAUAAAAAAGUGCCUUUACCGGAAUUAUGAGACAGGUGCUGCAUGGCUGUCGUCAGCUCGUGUUGUGAAAUGUUGGGUUAAGUCCCGCAACGAGCGCAACCCUUGUUCUCUGUUGCCAUCAGGUUAUGCUGGGAACUCAGAGGAGACUGCCGGUUAUAAGCUGGAGGAAGGUGGGGACGACGUCAAGUCAUCGUGGCCCUUACGACCAGGGCUACACACGUGCUACAAUGGCAUAUACAAAGAGAAGCAAAUCUGCGAAGACAAGCAAAACUCAUAAAGUAUGUCUUAGUUCGGACUGGAGUCUGCAACUCGACUCCACGAAGUCGGAAUCGCUAGUAAUCGUGGAUCAGAAUGCCACGGUGAAUACGUUCCCGGGCCUUGCACUCACCGCCCGUC
rnacentral:rRNA from 1 species